rnacentral:rRNA from 1 species
UACGCAGGCGGUCUAAGAAGUCAGAUGUUAAAGCUAGGGCUUAACCCUAUAAAGCAUAUGAAACUGAUAGACUUGAGUAAAGGAGAGGAAAGUGGAAUUCCUGGUGUAGCGGUGAAGUGCGUAGAUAUCAGGAGGAAUACCGGUGGCGAAGGCGACUUUCUGGACUUUAACUGACGCUGAGGUACGAAAGCGCGGGGAGCAAACA